GAUGAACGCUGGCGGCGUGCCUAAUACAUGCAAGUCGAGCGAACGGACGAGAAGCUUGCUUCUCUGAUGUUAGCGGCGGACGGGUGAGUAACACGUGGAUAACCUACCUAUAAGACUGGGAUAACUUCGGGAAACCGGAGCUAAUACCGGAUAGUAUUUUGAACCGCAUGGUUCAAAAGUGAAAGACGGUCUUGCUGUCACUUAUAGAUGGAUCCGCGCUGCAUUAGCUAGUUGGUAAGGUAACGGCUUACCAAGGCAACGAUGCAUAGCCGACCUGAGAGGGUGAUCGGCCACACUGGAACUGAGACACGGUCCAGACUCCUACGGGAGGCAGCAGUAGGGAAUCUUCCGCAAUGGGCGAAAGCCUGACGGAGCAACGCCGCGUGAGUGAUGAAGGUCUUCGGAUCGUAAAACUCUGUUAUUAGGGAAGAACAUAUGUGUAAGUAACUGUGCGCAUCUUGACGGUACCUAAUCAGAAAGCCACGGCUAACUACGUGCCAGCAGCCGCGGUAAUACGUAGGUGGCAAGCGUUAUCCGGAAUUAUUGGGCGUAAAGCGCGCGUAGGCGGUUUUUUAAGUCUGAUGUGAAAGCCCACGGCUCAACCGUGGAGGGUCAUUGGAAACUGGAAAACUUGAGUGCAGAAGAGGAAAGUGGAAUUCCAUGUGUAGCGGUGAAAUGCGCAGAGAUAUGGAGGAACACCAGUGGCGAAGGCGACUUUCUGGUCUGUAACUGACGCUGAUGUGCGAAAGCGUGGGGAUCAAACAGGAUUAGAUACCCUGGUAGUCCACGCCGUAAACGAUGAGUGCUAAGUGUUAGGGGGUUUCCGCCCCUUAGUGCUGCAGCUAACGCAUUAAGCACUCCGCCUGGGGAGUACGACCGCAAGGUUGAAACUCAAAGGAAUUGACGGGGACCCGCACAAGCGGUGGAGCAUGUGGUUUAAUUCGAAGCAACGCGAAGAACCUUACCAAAUCUUGACAUCCUUUGACAACUCUAGAGAUAGAGCUUUCCCCUUCGGGGGACAAAGUGACAGGUGGUGCAUGAUUGUCGUCAGCUCGUGUCGUGAGAUGUUGGGUUAAGUCCCGCAACGAGCGCAACCCUUAAGCUUAGUUGCCAUCAUUAAGUUGGGCACUCUAAGUUGACUGCCGGUGACAAACCGGAGGAAGGUGGGGAUGACGUCAAAUCAUCAUGCCCCUUAUGAUUUGGGCUACACACGUGCUACAAUGGACAAUACAAAGGGCAGCGAAACCGCGAGGUCAAGCAAAUCCCAUAAAGUUGUUCUCAGUUCGGAUUGUAGUCUGCAACUCGACUACAUGAAGCUGGAAUCGCUAGUAAUCGUAGAUCAGCAUGCUACGGUGAAUACGUUCCCGGGUCU
rnacentral:rRNA from 1 species